AGCUGAAGCAGAACAAGGAGCUGGAGCGAGAGGCCUGACCACCUGAUGUCUCUCUCUCUCUCUCACACACACACACACACACACUUCCCUACAAGUUUACAAUGGCUAACUAAAAUAACCUGAGAGAUGUGACUUCCUGCUUCCUGCAUGUCCUCUAAAGGAGUGACCAUCUCGAGUCCUCCGUCUCCUGCCCUUUAACUCUCGCACUUAAAAAUAAUGAAUGAACUUGGAACUCACGUGGGGUUUCGUUGUUCAUGCUAAUGCACGCCGUUAUCAGAGUUCACUAGUUAGCAACAUUCUGGCUAGCAUUGUGAGUUAGCUAAGUGUUUAGCUGCCUUGAACCCCUUCAGACUCCUACUUUUUAUUUCAUUAUCGUUGUUGCAGCUUGUGUACAGUGUGUCAUACAAAACCUCUCUCUCUAUAAUUCUAAUUAUCCAUAUGUAUACACACACACACACACACACAUUAUUUAUAUAUAUAUAUAUAUAUAUAUAUAUAUAUAUAUAUAUAUAUAUAUAUAUAUAUAUUCUGAAGAAUGAAAUCAGUCUUGGAUAUAAAUUUAUUUCUGCUUUGAGGUGUUUCAGCACGUUUUAAAUGACAAUGUUGUUUACCUUCUCAGUGAGUGAAGAUUUUCCCACUCCACUGAUUUUCAGUCUUAGACCUCGUCCCAUCAUCCACUUUCCCUCGCUCGUCUCCUCUUCCCCUCGCUCUUCUCCACUUCCCCUGAUCCACUUCCCCUCACUCGUGUCUUCUUCCCCUCGCUCUUCUCCUCUUUCCCCUCGCUCGUGUCCACUUCCCCUCGCUCGUGUCCCUCUGGACUCUUUACAUCGCUAUGGCAGCUUGAAUGAUGUGCGUUAGAUGAGAAUCGACUCAACAGUUUACCCAGAAGACGUUGCUGCAACCUAUAACUGCUUUUUUUCCCCUCCAAAACGGUAGCCAAAUCCUCAUAAACAGAAGCUUCAAAUUUCAAAACUACUCGCAUCUAAUGUUUGCUAGCGAGUUAGCAUGCUAGCUCCAACAGGGAAAAACAGGAAAUGAGCUUGGCUUUGGUGCCCGUGCUACCGUGGCGUGUUCCUGCUCAUAAAUUUUCUCCAAACGCACACAUAGUGGUAUGUAAACUUCAUACAGGGUGAAAUAUAACGUCUUAAACAUCACUGGAGUGAUGUAACACGAGCGGAGAUGGAAGUGAGCUGUAACACCUGUAACCUGGGGUUUAGGGCUGGGACGAGAGAACGUUGUGAUUAUAUCGUCAUCAAUCUGAAAUAUAGACAUCCUUAAUAUAAAAGUAUAUACAAUGACAAAGUUCUAUUUUUAAUAAAAAUCUGUAGUAAGGUAUUUAAAUAAAAUUUAAAGAUGAGAGAUUCUACUUUGUGAUAAACUACUGAAGAUUCAGAGCGACUCCUCUAAACAAGUCCACCUUCAACUGUAAACAUCUUCUGAACCGAAUAACAGAACCUUCACGCUGACUGGACCAGUAUCGCUUCUUCACCUCAGACCUCCUCCUGGUUUCUGCUGAGUGUGUGUCCACGGCUUUAACUCGCACCUCAACCUCUCCACACACUCGGGAAACAUUCACGCUGUGUUUAUAUUAAUCAGCGAAAUCAUUAAACAAUUAAGAACGAGUGGAAAUCUAAAACUACAAACUGAUUCAGCUGAAAUACAUUUUACUGACCUCGCUCUUUUCUCAUAACGAUGUUCUAACCUUUUAGAAAUGUAUUUGCAGUUUUUAUUUAAGAUAUCAGUGUAUAGAUUCUUUUUAUGUCUGUUCAAGCAGCCCAGAAAACACACAUCAUCAUACGUUUUAUUUUUAUGAUUAUUUUUGAUUGUGCAGUGCCUUGAAGUCUUUAAUGCAGUCUCUCUCUCUCUUACACACACACACAAACACAGAGUAGACUCGUUUAGCUUAAAAUUGUGUUGCAGUUUGUUAUGCAUAUGAAUUUAAUACAUAUUCUCGUGUGUGUUAUACUUCAGCACUGCGUGUGUUAAUAUAAUGCAUUAAUGUGUAUAUAUUGUACAUUAUAAAGAGCUGUUGAGGAUAAAUAUAUAAAUAUAUAAUAUUUAACAGGAAUAUAUUUGCUUGUUAGAUCUGAAAUAUUGUUGUUUUUUUCCGUUCACAGAUACGCAUGAUUAUACUUACAGCUACUGCAUGAGUUCCUUUAAGAGAUAAAGUGGAUAAAAGUGUGCGAAUGUUGCAAAAAGGGUUUAUUUAUGAAUAUCAUCGUCAUCGCUUUGGAUUGUUUUUACUGAAAAUCUCAUUUGAUUGGUGUUCAG
ensembl:lncRNA